GAGUUUGAUCCUGGCUCAGAAUCAACGCUGGCGGCGUGCCUAACACAUGCAAGUCGUGCGAGAAAGUCCUUCGGGGACGAGUAAAGCGGCGCACGGGUGAGUAACACGUAGGUAACCUGCCCUCGAGCUCGGAAUAACCUACCGAAAGGUGGGCUAAUACCGGAUAUGACCACGGGAGUUUCGGCUUCUGCGGUGAAAGGUGGCCUCUACUUGUAAGCUACCACUCAAGGAUGGGCCUGCGUACCAUUAGCUAGUUGGUGGGGUAAUGGCCCACCAAGGCUGUGAUGGUUAGCUGGUCUGAGAGGAUGGCCAGCCACACUGGGACUGAAACACGGCCCAGACUCCUACGGGAGGCAGCAGUGGGGGAUAUUGCGCAAUGGGCGAAAGCCUGACGCAGCGACGCCGCGUGGGUGAUGAAGGCCUUCGGGUCGUAAAGCCCUGUCGAGGGGGAAGAAUCGGUUGCGACCUAACACGUCGUAGCCCUGACGGUACCCCUAAAGGAAGCACCGGCUAACUCCGUGCCAGCAGCCGCGGUAAUACAGAGGGUGCGAGCGUUGUCCGGAAUCACUGGGCGUAAAGGGCGCGUAGGCGGCCUGAUAAGUAGGGGGUGAAAUCCUGUGGCUUAACUGCAGGGCUGCCUCCUAGACUGUCGGGCUCGAGCACGGUAGAGGCAGAUGGAAUUCCCGGUGUAGCGGUGGAAUGCGUAGAGAUCGGGAAGAACAUCGGUGGCGAAGGCGGUCUGCUGGGCCGUUGCUGACGCUGAGGCGCGACAGCGUGGGGAGCAAACAGGAUUAGAUACCCUGGUAGUCCACGCCGUAAACGAUGGACACUAGGCGUCGGGGGGAGCGACCCUCUCGGUGCCGUCGCUAACGCAGUAAGUGUCCCGCCUGGGGAGUACGGCCGCAAGGCUGAAACUCAAAGGAAUUGACGGGGGCCCGCACAAGCGGCGGAGCACGCGGAUUAAUUCGAUGCAACGCGAAGAACCUUACCAAGGCUUGACAUGUGCCGGAAAAGUGCAGAGAUGUGCUCCCCGCAAGGUCGGUACACAGGUGGUGCAUGGUUGUCGUCAGCUCGUGUCGUGAGAUGUUGGGUUAAGUCCCGCAACGAGCGCAACCCUCGUUCUAUGUUGCCAGCACGUGAUGGUGGGGACUCAUAGGAGACUGCCGGGGUCAACUCGGAGGAAGGUGGGGAUGACGUCAAAUCAUCAUGCCCCUUAUGUCUUGGGCUUCACGCAUGCUACAAUGGCCAGUACAAAGGGCUGCGAUACCGCAAGGUGGAGCGAAUCCCAAAAAACUGGUCUCAGUUCGGAUUGGGGUCUGCAACUCGACCCCAUGAAGUCGGAGUCGCUAGUAAUCGCAGAUCAGCAACGCUGCGGUGAAUACGUUCCCGGGCCUUGUACACAC
rnacentral:rRNA from 1 species